UCGAGAGAACUCAACUCAAGAGUUAGCAAAGCCUUUCUAUUUGUAGCACCUCUGGUGAAGGGGCUUGAUUUGUCUGUUCUGGGGUAGCUCUCUCAACUUUGGUCCCCACUGGAUACUCAGCUGUCAUCUGUGGCUCCAAGUAGAUGUUUAUGUAAUGCCUUGGCUCAUAUUUUUACUGUUAUGCUGUAUGUAUUUCAUUUUGGCAGCUCUGUAAGAGCGGUCUGUUCUGUUUUCAUGCUUGUUUUGGUUAUUGCUGAAGAUAAGAGAUGAGGAGAAAUGUGUGCCAUCCUAUUAGGAUGUCAGAUUAUGGGGAGGUUUCUCUGGUGAGGGACACUAAGGUUGGGCCUGGGGCCUUUUGUUUGCGAGGAGAUGAAGAGAGAAGACGGGGGAGAACUGGUCAUAGGAUACGAUUGGUAGGAUACCCGUUUGAUCGAGAUAGAUUGUGAGCGACGUUUGGAAGGUGGCGUGGGCUUUCACAUUGACUGAGGGCCCAGCGCGCGAGUGACAGAGAAGUUCAAGAUGAGCUCCAACUUGUGCACAUUUGACUGUUUAAUUAGAAUGGGUCUUUUCUUUUUGUUCUUUACUAACCCUUUGGUUAAGAUUCAUAAAUAUAUUUCCUUUAACUGUACACAGUGCUGGUUUGCAGUGUUAUUUCAUGGCAUUAAUAUGUAACAGGGUAGUAAAUGACACAGCAUCCACACAAAUGGGGGUUUGGGGUGGAAUCAAGCGCUGCUCAAUCUCACGAGUCUGGCAGGGCUGGAGGUUGUCUUCCCUAGACUUACGUAGCCAAGGAAAACGGGGUGUUCCAUUUGCAGGCAACAGCAGUCGUACCCCGCAAAAACACUUUGACAGGCAGGCUAAACCAGGUGACGGUAGCUGGCAGGCCUCAUACCCUGCUGAGGUAGGGACAUGCAUACCUGCUGGAUGAGAUCAACAUUGAGAUCCAACAGCUAGGAAGAAGGUUCUGCAAUUCUUCAUGGAGAGCAAAGAGCAGGACAAGACAGAGAAGAAAUCAUGGUCAUCCACUGCAUCCAAGGAAGACCCUAGUUGUGACAGCUACUUGUAGCACUAGACCCGGAGAACUGCCUCAGUGUAAUGGCUUUUCCACUUUAAAAACUCCUGCACACGUUUUAUCAUGUAGUUCACAUCACCCAAAGAGCUGCAAAAAAUCCAACUCUCAUUGUCAGAUACAAUAGAUAACAAAUUAAACCAUUUGGAUAUCAGAAAGUGGAUUGAAGUCAUGGAUAAGGAUUUUCACAGCUUUAUAUGGUUCAGAAUAUUGGAAGCAUGAAACAAGAAUAUUCCAGACUACAGACCUUGCCGAACAAGAUUUUAUGAAGACACUUAGACUUACCUAAUGAUUAGAAUUUCAAAAUCAAAGGUUGUCCAUGUUGUCCAAGGGGUGAAAAAGAAGAGGUGGAGAUGACUUGAACAAAUGUGCUUAAUGCCAAGAACUGGAUUGCUCAGAAUGGCUCAGUGAGGGGGAGGUGAUGCCUCAUAAACCUGAGUGAAAUCUUUAAGGAAGUGAAUUCUUCUUGGUGAGGAAAGGGCAUGACAAGGCACAGAAGAAGUCCUGGUCGUCCACUGCAACCAAGGAAGAUCCCAGUAGUGGCAACUACUUAUUUUGUUGCUGUAAAUGAAAAUUAUUUUAAAAUUUGUUAUGUGUUCUUUCCUGGUUCUCGCAAACAGAGGAGUCGACACCUGUGUUCACUGUCACAGGAAAACUCUAUAUUAGAGCUAAGUAGUAGCAGUAAAGAAAUCAAACUAGUACUCAUCAUCCUCCAAGUCAGCUGAUCUGCGGAAUGCCAUCAGACUUUCAUGCAGCUUCUCCUCCCUCCAUCUCUCUCUCCUCUCUCUCUCACUCUCUCUCUGUGUCUCUCUGUCUCUGUCUGUCUGUCUGUCUGUCUCUCUCUGUGUCUCUCUUUCUCUCUCUAACUUAAACUCGACAUAAUGUACCCUAUCACCAUGCCAGCCACCAGCCAUGCCUCAGCUUAGGACAAAACUCUCUUCUCUUGCACCAAGAAGGUGCCCCUUUUUGUACUCUUUAAAACUCCUGUCAUUAGUACUUUCCAUGCAUUUGGUAUCUGCCUUCCCAUGAAAAACAUAUUUUUUGCCAUCUUCCAGUGAUAUGCCUGUAGACCUGCACUCCCUUAACUUUCUCAGCACAUUCCUGUGGACUGGUUCUCUUGCACUUUCUCAAAACAACCCCACUCCAAGUUAACACCAUUUUGUCUUAGCAUCUUAGCAUAUACCAAGGAGGAAUCACGUUGAACAUUUCCUUACAACUACCUUGAUGAAGUCUGAGCAGUGGAUGUAGUGUAUAUGGAUUUUAGUAAGGCAUUUGACAGGGUUCCGAUUGGUAGGCUCCUUCAGUAGGUCCAGAGGCAUGGGAUCCAGGGAAAUACAGCUGUGUGGGCAGAGGGUGAUAGUAGAUUUAAUAUAUUGUAUCUGGAGGUCUGUGACUAGUGCUGUUCCACAGAGAUCUUUUCUGGGAUCCCUGCUCUUGGUGAUAUUUAUAAAUGACCAGUGGAAGGGUGGGUUAGUAAUUUGCAGAUGACACAAAGAUCGAUGCUGUUGUGGAUAGUGUAGAAGGUUGUUGUAGGUUACAACAGGAUAUUGACAGGAUUCCGAGUUGGGCUGAGAAGUGGCAGAUGGAGUUCAAUCCAGAAAAGUGAUGAGUGGUUCACUUUGGAAGGUCACACUUUACGACAGGGUACAAAGCUAUUGGUAAGAUUCUGAGCAGUGUGGAGGAACAGAGGGCUCAUGUCCAUAGAUCACUCAAAGUUGCUGUGCAAGUUGAUGGGGUGGUUAAAAAGGUAUAUAGUGUGUUGGCCUUCAUUAGUUGGGAGACUGAGUUCGAGUCGCGAGGUAACAUUACAAGUCUAUGAAACUCUGGUUAGACUGCACUUGAGUGUUGUGUUCAGUUCACCUCAUUAUAGGAAGGAUGUGGAAACUUUCAAGAGGGCGCAAAGGAGAUUUAUCAGGAUGCUGCAUGGACUAGAGGAAAGGUUGAGUGAGGUAGGGCUUUCCUCAUUGGAGUGAAGGAGGGCGAGUGGUGAUGUGUUAGAGAUGGGAGGCAAUAUUGGGGUGCAAUAUUAGACCGUCUCUUGGCCGAUGAGGUGGCAAUCAGGGUGCGCUUUAUCUAGUUUUAAGGUAGUGAGGGAAAAGGAUAGGAUGGUUUAGGAUUCUAAACCAGAGUAGGGCUAAUUUUGGGGGAAUUAGGGCAGGAUCUAGCAGAGGUCAGUUCAGUAAGCCGGAAGGAAAAGGAACAAAUAGCAAGUGGGAGGCUUUUACGAAGGUGAUAUAAAGAGUCCAGGAGCAGCGUUGUACUGUUGGGGUGAAGGGUAAACCUGGCAAGUUUAGUGAAACUUGGCUGACAAGAGAUAUUGAGGCUCUGAUCAAGAACUAGAAGGAAGCACACAUCGGAUUAGGAAGUUCAGGGCAAAUGAAUCCCUUGAAGACUAUAAACAAUUAAUAAUACUCAAGGGGGAAAUCAGCAGGACAAGGAGAGGGGAUGAGAUGGAUCUGGCAGGUAAGGUUAAGAUAGCUUUAAUAAGAGUAACUAGGGAAGAAUAAGUCCUCUGAGGGCUGAUUAUAUCUUGAGCUGCAGGAGAUGAGUGGGAUUGUUAGUGAACAUUUCUCCUUGGUGUUUACUGAAGAGAAAAUCAUGGUUGCUCAAGAGACGCAAGUGGUGCAGCUUUGGAGUAGAAUUCGUAUUACUAGGGAAGAUGCAUUUGAGCCUUACAGUGCAUUAAGAUGGAUAAAUCCCCAAGGUCUGAGUGAGUGCAUCUUUGGACUUAGCGUGAGGCUGGAGAAGAAAUUGCAGAGGUAUUUGCUUCAUCAUUAUCCCGUGGUGAAAUUCCUGGAAGGUUCUGUUGUUUAUGAAGUGGCAAGGACAAGCCAGGGAACUACAGGGUUCAGCCUGACAUCAGUAGGUGGUUACUGUAGGGGAUUUUGAGGGACAGGAUCUACGAGCAUUUGGAUAGAUGGAGUCUAAUUCAGAGGAGUCAGCAUGGCUUUGUGUGUUGAAAGUCACGCUUGAUGAACAUUAUAGGCUGUCUGGAAUGUUAGGUCAUGUGGAAUCCAAGGAGAGCUAGUUUAGUGGAUCAGAAUUGGCUCAGAAGUCAGAAGCAGAGGGUGGUGUUUGAAGGAUGUUUCUUGAAGUGGAGAUUAGUGACGUGGUGUGCUGGAGAGAUGCUGGCCGACCAACUGAGCAAUCCCAGCAUUUUCUCUUUCUUUAAUUAAAGUGUAGGGUUCUCAGAUUAUUUACUGUAAUGAUUAACUGUUAACUGCAUGUAUAAAAUGGCUUCUUUGUAUGUAUCUAAUGAGGUAAUUGCUCUGUUUAGUUGAAAUGUUUGGGUUAUAAUUAUUGAUAACGAACUAUCCAAUAGAAGCCAUGUUGUUCUAUAUGUAUGUGUGGGAACCUGGAGUCAGUGGCGGGCUUUUUGGGAGGAGAACCGAAGAGGAAAGACGUGCUGGAUGCGCUCUGGUCGACCACUGAGGUUGGACCCGGGCGGCGGGUCGAGGAGGUCGGAGAAGUUCGAAUGGGGAUGGAAGGCUUCAAUAAUUGAGCUCCAACGGUUGUGCAUGAACUGAUCGGACUUUGAUAAGUUUGGCACCUUGUUCUUUCUUUUUAUAUUGUAUCACUAUUAAUUACCUAAUUCUAGUAAUAUUUAUAAAGUGUAAUCUGUAAAAAAGUA